GGGAAGGAAUAAGCCUGGAAGAAAAAGAUACAACGAACUAGCACAACGAGGAGUUUGAAAAGUUCAUGACAGCUCACAGCUGAUGAUGGUGGCAAUCUUAAGGAUACAGAAAGCUCAUUCCUCAUGCAGGGAAGAAGAAAAUAUUCUAAAGAAGAGAUAAGCAUAUUCCAUGAAAUCAAAAAAGCGUAAAACGCUGGAGGAGAAGUCAGUAGCAAGCAGCUAAGACAACAUGGUACAUGUGGCUAGAAGCCCACCAACUGCUAACAACCAGCUGGAGGGCCUCCCCGGAAGCUGAGCAGAUGCCAGCACCAUAAUUCCAGUACAGCCUAUCAAACUGCCUAGGUGCUCUCUGAUGGUGGGAAUCCACUAAUAAGAGGUGUCCAGUUCUUCUAGCAAACUUGUCAGUGCUCAUGUCUUCCAUGGGUUGUGCCCUGAAUCAAUGCAUUUAUUAAUUCUUUCAAAAUGCAAAAUAAAAAUUAUGUGUUGAGCCUCUA
rnacentral:lncRNA from 10 species